CUUGACACAGUGAUGAUUUCAUAGUUCAACAGACUGACAGUGAAGAAUACUUUUGUCUUUCGCUCCUAUCUGAAGUGUCCUC
ensembl:snoRNA small nucleolar RNA snR60/Z15/Z230/Z193/J17